UACGUAGGGGCCUAGCGUUGUCCGGAUUUAUUGGGCGUAAAGAGCUCGUAGGCGGUCUGUCGCGUCGGAUGUGAAAGCCCGGGGCUUAACCCCGGGUCUGCAUUCGAUACGGGCAGACUAGAGUGUGGUAGGGGAGAUCGGAAUUCCUGGUGUAGCGGUGAAAUGCGCAGAUAUCAGGAGGAACACCGGUGGCGAAGGCGGAUCUCUGGGCCAUUACUGACGCUGAGGAGCGAAAGCGUGGGGAGCGAACAGG
rnacentral:rRNA from 1 species